AGAGUUUGAUCAUGGCUCAGAUUGAACGCUGGCGGCAGGCCUAACACAUGCAAGUCGAGCGGUAGCACAGAGAGCUUGCUCUCGGGUGACGAGCGGCGGACGGGUGAGUAAUGUCUGGGAAACUGCCUGAUGGAGGGGGAUAACUACUGGAAACGGUAGCUAAUACCGCAUAACGUCGCAAGACCAAAGUGGGGGACCUUCGGGCCUCAUGCCAUCAGAUGUGCCCAGAUGGGAUUAGCUAGUAGGUGGGGUAACGGCUCACCUAGGCGACGAUCCCUAGCUGGUCUGAGAGGAUGACCAGCCACACUGGAACUGAGACACGGUCCAGACUCCUACGGGAGGCAGCAGUGGGGAAUAUUGCACAAUGGGCGCAAGCCUGAUGCAGCCAUGCCGCGUGUGUGAAGAAGGCCUUCGGGUUGUAAAGCACUUUCAGCGGGGAGGAAGGCGUUAAGGUUAAUAACCUUAGCGAUUGACGUUACCCGCAGAAGAAGCACCGGCUAACUCCGUGCCAGCAGCCGCGGUAAUACGGAGGGUGCAAGCGUUAAUCGGAAUUACUGGGCGUAAAGCGCACGCAGGCGGUCUGUCAAGUCGGAUGUGAAAUCCCCGGGCUUAACCUGGGAACUGCAUUCGAAACUGGCAGGCUAGAGUCUUGUAGAGGGGGGUAGAAUUCCAGGUGUAGCGGUGAAAUGCGUAGAGAUCUGGAGGAAUACCGGUGGCGAAGGCGGCCCCCUGGACAAAGACUGACGCUCAGGUGCGAAAGCGUGGGGAGCAAACAGGAUUAGAUACCCUGGUAGUCCACGCCGUAAACGAUGUCGAUUUGGAGGUUGUGCCCUUGAGGCGUGGCUUCCGGAGCUAACGCGUUAAAUCGACCGCCUGGGGAGUACGGCCGCAAGGUUAAAACUCAAAUGAAUUGACGGGGGCCCGCACAAGCGGUGGAGCAUGUGGUUUAAUUCGAUGCAACGCGAAGAACCUUACCUGGUCUUGACAUCCACAGAACUUUCCAGAGAUGGAUUGGUGCCUUCGGGAACUGUGAGACAGGUGCUGCAUGGCUGUCGUCAGCUCGUGUUGUGAAAUGUUGGGUUAAGUCCCGCAACGAGCGCAACCCUUAUCCUUUGUUGCCAGCGGUCCGGCCGGGAACUCAAAGGAGACUGCCAGUGAUAAACUGGAGGAAGGUGGGGAUGACGUCAAGUCAUCAUGGCCCUUACGACCAGGGCUACACACGUGCUACAAUGGCAUAUACAAAGAGAAGCGACCUCGCGAGAGCAAGCGGACCUCAUAAAGUAUGUCGUAGUCCGGAUUGGAGUCUGCAACUCGACUCCAUGAAGUCGGAAUCGCUAGUAAUCGUAGAUCAGAAUGCUACGGUGAAUACGUUCCCGGGCCUUGUACACACCGCCCGUCACACCAUGGGAGUGGGUUGCAAAAGAAGUAGGUAGCUUAACCUUCGGGAGGGCGCUUACCACUUUGUGAUUCAUGACUGGGGUGAAGUCGUAACAAGGUAACCGUAGGGGAACCUGCGGUUGGAUCACCU
rnacentral:rRNA from 1 species